GCUCCAUUGGCCUAAUGGUAAGGCGUCCGCCUCCUAUUAAUAGCAGAUGAUGGUUUGCGAGCGGAAGACUGCGGGUUCGAGUCCCGUGUGGAGUG